UUCCGGUUGAUCCUGCCGGACCCCACUGCUAUCGGGGUGGGACUAAGGCAUGCUAGUCCGCGUCCUCAAGCUACGGAGAGGACGCGGCGGACAGCUCCGUAACACGUAGCUAACCUGCCCUCAGGACGGGGAUAACCCCGGGAAACUGGGAAUAAUCCCCGAUAGGCGAGGAGGCCUGGAAUGGUUCCUCGCCGAAAGGAUGUGGGAACCACGCUUCCCGCAUCGCCUGAGGAUGGGGCUGCGGCCGAUCAGGUAGUUGGUGAGGUAACGGCUCACCAAGCCUAUAACCGGUACGGGCCGUGAGAGCGGGAGCCCGGAGAUGGGCACUGAGACAAGGGCCCAGGCCCUACGGGGCGCAGCAGCCGCGAAACCUCUGCAAUGCGCGAAAGCGCGACAGGGCUACCCCGAGUGCCGUCCGCUGAGGACGGCUUUUCUCCGGUGUAAUGAGCCGGAGGAAUAAGGGGAGGGCAAGCCUGGUGUCAGCCGCCGCGGUAAUACCAGCUCCCCGAGUGGUGGGGACGGUUAUUGGGCCUAAAGCGUCCGUAGCCGGUCCAGCAAGUCCUCCGUUAAAGCCAACGAUCCAAUCGUUGGAAUGCGGGGGAUACUGCUGGACUAGGGGGCGGGAGAGGCCGACGGUACUCCUGGGGUAGGGGUGAAAUCCUAUAAUCCCAGGAGGACCACCAGUGGCGAAGGCGGUCGGCCAGAACGCGCCCGACGGUGAGGGACGAAAGCUGGGGGAGCGAUCCGGAUUAGAUACCCGGGUAGUCCCAGCCGUAAACGAUGCAGGCUAGGUGUUGGCGUGACUACGAGUCACGCCAGUGCCGCAGGGAAGCCGUUAAGCCUGCCGCCUGGGGGGUACGGUCGCAAGACUGAAACUUAAAGGAAUUGGCGGGGGAGCACCACAAGGGGUGAAGCUUGCGGUUUAAUUGGAUUCAACGCCGG
rnacentral:rRNA from 1 species